CUCUCCCAAAAAGAAAAAAACGCAGCCUCCAGUCCUCCACCUUGAACUCCGGCGCCCCGUUCCACCGCAGCCGCGGGCCUCCAGGCUCCAGCCACCGCCGACCAUAAGCUCCACCAGCCCCCGAGAAACCCAGCGAGUGGCUUGUCAUGGGUUGCUUCUGUGACUCCCGCCCGCGUCGCGCGCAGGAUUACCUCAAGACGGUGGUGCCGCCGCAGCUCAUGGCCGACAGGCCGAGUUAGGCUCCAAUCUCGUGGUCAUCAACCCAGUUUGCUACUCAGGAUGUGCCGUUCAAUAUACCGCACUGCAUUGCCCUGCACAUCUCCCGGCACAAGAAUGAUGCACCAAGGCUGUCGGUGCGAGAUCAGUUUGCAGAGGCUCAACUGUCGUGCUCGGCCAACGCACAAGGCAGAACAGUAGAGGGCAUAUGAUUUAUCGCUCCACUGCUCAAAAUCCCGUUUUUGAUGAAGUUUCGCCUUCAGAGAACCAACCCUUAUAGUACCUCUUAAGAAAGGUCAGCACACAGUGACGCUGUUGAAGAUCCUUCACAAAGCACAUCUGAACUCUGAAGAAAGCAAAUAGGAAAUGAUAUCUGGAGAGGAUCCUUUGAAAAUCCCCCCUGCAUCAUACAGUUUGAGUUGUCUCUGAUCAGGAACCAGAAUGCCUACUGGAUAGAAGUUAGUGGGACCGGGCAAUGUCGAUAAUGAAUGUAUUCUGAAUAUAAAAACUCUUCUUGUGAAAAUACUUUUGUCCUGUUUGUCAAACACUCAUAUACCCAAAUGAAGCUAUGCGAACUCAGUACACACGUCUCUACUGGAAACCUUGAUUGGCUUACGUGGCAGCAACCGCACAAGCCUGCCCACUUGGUGAUAGAAGCCAAUUCCGAGGAUUCAUAUAAGUCACUUGCUGAGAGAAUUAGUAAUUUUACAAUACACAGCCUAUACAACAAGUGGUUGCCAAUGCCAAGGAAAUCUGUCUGAAUGCAUCACACAUGGUACCGCUUGCGCCUAUGGGAACUCCCCUGGUAUUUGUAACCAUUGCGGGCAUGCAACACUGAACACAAGAGACUGACAGUAACUGAUACAGUCAUCAAGCUGCAACGAACCGAGAUCCGUCUGCAGUUUCCUCAGUGGCACCUGCAGCAGCUCCUACAGCAGAGCCAGCUGCAACUACAGCCGGAGCUGUAACAGCUUCUGCAGUGGCAACUACUCCAGAACAAGCACGGUGGCUGUGGCCCUUCUUGCAGGGGAGCAUACUGCUGCUACUCAAGGUCAAGCAGUUGCACCACAAACUCAAAUGGCCGAGCAGUACCAGCAGAAGCUCCAGUAUCAACAGUAUUACCAGCAGCAUUACCCUGGCUGCAACCCCUACACUCGGCAGUAUCAACAGUGGCCAAUACCAACAGUACACACCGCCUCAAACGCAAGUGGCACCACAGAAUGUUGCUCAAGUUCCUGCACAACCUGCUCCAUAUGCUGAGCCUCACUUCCUGCAGCCCUGACAGCCCCAACACGCGGUGCCAAAUCAGCCCCAGAAUCAAACCCAUCUUCCUCAACUCCAAGUACCAGUUGUUCAGCCGCAGCCUCAUCAGCAGAAUCCACCAUUGCAUUCAGCACCUCAAAUUCCACAGAUGCAACUGCAGGGUGAUGUACAACCUAUAGCCCAUACUCACAGUUGCUAACCAGCCAUUUGCAAUGGCUGUAACUCAAACAAAUAGCCUCCCAGGUGCAGCCAUAUGACCUUAUCCUCGAUGACAUCAGCAGGUUGUUUCCCAGCAACAACAUCCGCAAAUGCAGUACUUACGUCAGCAGCAACAUCUUCAGUCUCAGAUACAACACCAGCAUCCACAAGUGCAGCAGCAAUUGUACCCACAACUUCAGGUUUAUCAUCAGCCUCAUCCGGCUGCACAACCUCAGAAUCCUCUACUACAUGUGGUAGCAGGUCAUCAAUCAUAUUCGAAGCCGCAGGCCAUCACCAACAGUUAGCUGGUUCUCAGCAUCCUGCACUUGUACACCCUCCGCAGGGUCAACUUCCAUUGAACGGCCAACAGCCAGCCAUGCUUACUCCUCAAGGUACUCUGCAUACACCACAACAUCAGCAACAUGGGCAUCAUUUUCAGCAGCCACCAAUGCAUGUACCCGGCAUCCCUUCCCAAGCACCGCCACAAGGAUUUUCCUCCUAACACAUCUGUUCCUUCACAAACAGGUCAAUCAUACCAACACGGAAUGCGCUCAUCACAACAACAAAUGCAUUCUCAACCUUUCCAAUCCCAUGGUCCACAAUAUAUGCAGCAACAGCUUAUUCCAACUUCGACUAGCAGGUCUAUGAGCUAUGUUGCAACACCGCAUAGUUCCAGGAAUCAGGAAAGUCAAAAAGUUCAGCCAAUGCUACUGGCAAUACUGAAGUAGGUGGUAAUACAAAUGGGGGCGGUGAAUCUUCUGGCAUAAAGCCAGAAUCUCUGGGUGAUAAAAAUGUGAAUGGAGAGCAGAAUGAUUUUGGUAAUGUCAGAAAAAUUCAGUACAAACUGGCAUUGCAUUGAGCAGAGCAGAUGGUUCAGACAAAGGCAAGGGAAAGGAUGAUUCUGGUCUGAAGCUUCAAAUAUAUCCAAUGAUCUUGAGAAAGGAGGACCAUUGCAGCAGACAUCACAGAAAAUCCUGGGAGCACUGGGAUCCUAUGUGCCCCCAGGCAUGGUCUGACAGCGUCCGUCUGGACCUGAUACUAUUCUUCCUCAGCAUAGCUCCAUCCUGAUCUUGUGCCAUGUACACAAGGCCAGAUGAAUCCAAUGAGGCAACCUAGUCAUAGUUUUCCUGAAAAUAUCUGGCCUACAGCGCAGUAACAACCAUAUGGUUUAUAUCAACCUGAAAUGGCACCAAGGGCGCUUGCACCAAACAUUCCACGGCCUGCACGGCUGCACCCAUCAGACCUGAUGAUGAUGGCAUGAUUCGGCCUCCCAUGGGUGGACCCUUGCCUGGACAUCAUGACACAACUAUGCCUCGUUUUGCUCUAGAAAAUGUUGACUGGUACAUCCUGCUGGAAUGAAAAAGAGAAAUGGUAUUGGCAGAGAGGCGCUUGGAAAUUCCAGGGCUUUCCACGAAGAAGGGUUCAAUUCUUCACAAGAACAUUUCAGGUCAUUGGUGCCACCAUAUCCUGGCAGAUACAAUGUCAACCCUAAAGAUAUUGAAGAGAAUAUGAAGCAAAUUUCCAGGGCCAACUCAUCUUGAUGAAGAUAGUUUUCAGAGAGGCCCAAGGCCUUUUGAUGGUUUCGAUUCAUUACCUUGAAGUCCUCCAUUCCCAAACAAGCCAGGUCCAUAUCCUAUAGGCUUCCCUGAAGAUUUAUCAAGGAAACCACAUUCAGUUGUUGGUCAUCUUGACUUUGUGUCACCUGGUGCAGAAUUUGGCCAUCACAGGACUGAUGGUUCUAAUAAGUCAAUGCUUGAUUUGAAACUUCAUCAUCAGCAGGUCUUCAUGGUGACUAUUCAUAAUGAUCCAAAUUUUGAUGACUAUGCUUAACAUGGUUUUCCACAAGAAUCUGGCCGCUUCAGUUCGGCGUGUAAUGAGUAUUGAAUUCAUAAAAUUAUUUUCCUUUUUGUGUUUAUUGCUGAUGCAUUAUGAGUUUCCAUAUGCUAUAUACUUGAUGUACAUAAUAAUUUCUGAACUGCGGUUGUUGUACUGUCCAGGGUGGAUUCUUCAGUAACAGAGAUGUUGGUUGGUGCCGGAUAUGCAUGGGAGUGCAGAGGACCUGGGUCUAAUGUGCAUUCAAUGGACACUGUUCUGAAAAUGAAGCAUGAUGCUGCAAAGAGACAGAAGAUGAAUCCUGGAGGCCCCAAGUCAUUAAACAAAAAUGCAACCAUGAAGGGCAACUUCCAUGGGAAUAGGCGUUGGUCCUCGUGUUAUCAGUUCAACAUUUGAUGAGAUCUGAUGGUAGGGUUUGGUGGUUGCAUUUCCCCCUCAAGUGCAACGGCAUGAAUGUGACGGUCAAAACCGAUGAUAAAACCAUAUCAAUGAAGAUGCUGAUUCAUUUGCAAGGAGAGCGGAAAUGUACUAUAAAGAACACUCUGAGCUCAUGAAACAUGUGGAAGAGUACAGAGCAUACCAUGCCUGAGUAGAAAGGUAUGAUCAAGCCACUGGCACACUCCGGCGUGCCAUCAACGUCUGAGGACUCGCCCUCCUGAAGCCAAGAAGGGAAGCCACAUAUAUCAGAAAUGCUGGCACCAGUGGCGGAGACAGCACCCGGCGACCCGGGGCUGUUGCCCGGGCUCCCAUGGUGCAUGUGCAUGGAGCUCUAGUAGUAAAUAAAUGAUUUACUUACAGUUUGUUUGGACAAAAUCAAAUUAACUUAGCAUCACGUAUAUCUUGCCCAGGCUCUAAGUUUGAGCUGGCUCCGCCACUGGCUGGCACCCUUGCGUGCACCGUUUGAUCAUGAUGAUCUGCCCAAGGAUGCGCUUGGUGUGUCACCAGAGUUAUUUAUUGUCAAGACUCAAGAAGGAGGAAGUUAACCCGGAGGACGCAUUCUGCGAGCUGAAGAAGGGAGUUGUUAGACUGUCUGAACAAAACCGUUGCUCUGAGCUUUUGAUAGAAGAACUUCAUGGUGACAUGUGUCUCUGGUGGAUUCGAAGAGAAAAUUUGAGAGUGAGAUCCAAGCCCUUAGGAGCACUACCUCACAAUUAAAUACUGGAAAAGAUGUGGCUCUACUACAAUAUCAACAGUGCGUCUGAUCUAGGGCUCUUGAAGUCACAGUCCGAGCAGGAGAAGACUGAACUGAACUACUGAAGGUGUACAAAUGCUGGUGCAAGAACUCGAACAGAAGAGAGAAGAUGCUGGUGCCAUACAUACUCUGGCUCUUCAAUUACAUGCAAAAGGAAGCAGCUCGGGAAGAGGUUAAAAAGCUGGCACGAGAUGCUGAACAGUCGAACAAGAAAUUGAGUGACGGAUGCAUGCCGAAUCAGAAGUUCAGAACUUAGGGUAGGGAAAGACCUGCAUUCUGAAUCUCAGGAAGAACAUGAGUUGAUUGAUCUCAGGAUCAAGAAAUUGAAUCGAUUUGCUUACUGUCUUUUACUUGUGGAAAGUAGGCUCAAUCUGUACUAAUAAACACUUGGUAACUUUGCUAUCUCCAUGUGCUGGUUUUGUUAGGCCAGGGAGACUUUUGGACUGUCUUGGUUCCUGGGAAACCUUCUAUUAUCCUAAAAUAUUAUCCUUAGGAGGAUUGUAGUUAUGUAGUAUGAGGUGGCUGGUUAAUUGCAUCCAAAGCAUUGUUAUGA